AGAUUGAACGCUGGCGGCAGGCCUAACACAUGCAAGUCGAGCGGUAGAGAGGUGCUUGCACCUCUUGAGAGCGGCGGACGGGUGAGUAAUGCCUAGGAAUCUGCCUAGUGGUGGGGGAUAACGUUCGGAAACGGACGCUAAUACCGCAUACGUCCUACGGGAGAAAGCGGGGGACCUUCGGGCCUCGCGCCAUUAGAUGAGCCUAGGUCGGAUUAGCUAGUUGGUGAGGUAAUGGCUCACCAAGGCGACGAUCCGUAACUGGUCUGA
rnacentral:rRNA from 1 species